GGCUCAGAACGAACGCUGGCGGAGUGCUUAAUACAUGCAAGUCGAGCGAGAAAGUUACUUCGGGUAGCGAGUAGAGCGGCGAACGGGUGAGUAACACGUAAAUAACCUGCCUUCAAAUCCGGAAUAACAUUGCUAACGCGGUGCUAAUGCCGGAUAAUGUCUAUUUAACGCAUGUUUUAUAGAUUAAAGGUUUACUGUUUGAAGAGGGAUUUGCGGCCCAUUAGCUAGUUGGUAAGGUAAUGGCUUACCAAGGCCACGAUGGGUAGCCGGCCUUAGAGGGUGAUCGGCCACAUUGGGACUGAGAUACGGCCCAGACUCCUACGGGAGGCAGCAGUAAGGAAUCUUGCGCAAUGGGCGGAAGCCUGACGCAGCAACUCCGCGUGAGGGAUGACAGCCUUCGGGUUGUAAACCUCUGUUGAGUGGGAAGAAAAAGUUUUUGACCUUGACGGUACCACUCGAGGAAGCCCCGGCUAGCUACGUGCCAGCAGCCGCGGUAAUACGUAGGGGGCAAGCGUUGUUCGGAAUCACUGGGCAUAAAGGGAACGCAGGCGGAAAUAUAAGUUAGAAGUGAAAUGUACGGGCUUAACCCGUAACCUGCUUCUAAAACUGUAUUUCUUGAGUAUCGGAGAGGUGAACGGAAUUCCAGGUGUAGCGGUGGAAUGCGUAGAUAUCUGGAAGAACACCAGUAGUGAAAACGGUUCACUGGACGAAUACUGACGCUGAGGUUCGAAAUCUAAGGGAGCGAACAGGAUUAGAUACCCUGGUAGUCUUAGAUGUAAACGAUGGACACUAGAUGGUGGAGUUAUUCACUGUCGUAGCUAAUGCGCUAAGUGUCCCGCCUGGGAAGUACGCACGCAAGUGUGAAACUCAAAGGAAUUGACGGGGGCCCGCACAAGCGGUGGAGCAUGUGCUUUAAUUCGAUGCAACGCGAAGAACCUUACCUGGCCUUGACAUGGGAAUGAAAAUCUCUAGAGAUAGAGAUCCUUUCCUUCGGGAAACAUUCUACACAGAUGCUGCAUGGUUGUCGUCAGCUCGUGUCGUGAGAUGUUGGGUUAAGUCCCGCAACGAGCGCAACCCCUUUCACUAGUUGCCAUCAGGUUAUGCUGGGAACUCUAGUGAUACUGCCCGGGUUAACCGGGAGGAAGGUGGGGAUGACGUCAAAUCAUCAUGGCUCUUACGGCCAGGGCUAGACACGUACUACAAUGGACGGUACAAAGGGUUGCUAACCGGCGACGGUAUGCCAAUCCCAAAAAACCGUUCUCAGUUCGGAUUGGAGUCUGCAAUUCGACUCCAUGGAGGUGGAAUCGCUAGUAAUCGUGGAUCAGCAAUGCCACGGUGAAUUAGUUCCCGNGGCCACUUGUACACACCGCCCGUCAAGCCAUGAAAGAUGGCAGUGCCCGAAGUC
rnacentral:rRNA from 1 species